AUGACGAAGACGAUGCCGCGUGACUCUUCAGCGAGUGGAGCGUUGGUGCCGAGUGACUCGGCGGCGAUGGCGGCUGCGGCGGCGACGGCGGCGGCAGGGAAGCUCCCGUUCCCGCUGCUCACGAGGACGAACUACGCGGCGUGGGCGAUGAGGAUGAAGUACCUCUUGCGCGCCAAUGGCGCGUGGGGGGCCGUUGAUUGCGAGGCGUCGGCCUCGGAGGUCGACAAGGGCAACGCGGAGAUGGCCAUGACGAUCAUCUCCCAGUCGAUCGACGACACGACGCUGCUGCGCGUUGCGGAGAAGGAGACCGCCGCCGAUGUGUGGGCGGCGCUACGCUCCAUGCAUGUGGGCGUCGAGCGCGUCCGAGAGGCGAGGGUUCAAUCAUUGCGCUCGGAAUUUGAUGGCCUCAAGAUGGGUGAUGCGGAGUCCGUGGAUGAUUUCGCGGCGAGGUUCACGACCCUCGUGGGGCGCAUCCGUGAGCUUGGUGAUGCGAUGGAGGAGAAGUACGUCGUGAAGAAGCUGCUCCGAGCCGUCUUCAACAAGUUCAUCCACGUCGCUUCAUCGAUUGCAUUGUUCGGCGACACCAACAAGAUGGCCAUGGAGGAGGCCAUUGGUUCAGUCAAGGCGCACGAGGAGCUCGUCAAGGGACGGGAGACGGCACGGUCAAGAAGAGCAGCUCCUCAUGGUGAGAGGGCAUGA
rnacentral:rRNA from 1 species